GAUGAACGCUGGCGGCGUGCCUAAUACAUGCAAGUCGAGCGAAUGGAUUAAGAGCUUGCUCUUAUGAAGUUAGCGGCGGACGGGUGAGUAACACGUGGGUAACCUGCCCAUAAGACUGGGAUAACUCCGGGAAACCGGGGCUAAUACCGGAUAACAUUUUGAACCGCAUGGUUCGAAAUUGAAAGGCGGCUUCGGCUGUCACUUAUGGAUGGACCCGCGUCGCAUUAGCUAGUUGGUGAGGGAACGGCUCACCAAGGCAACGAUGCGUAGCCGACCUGGGAGGGUGAUCGGCCACCCUGGGACUGGGACACGGCCCGGACUCCUACGGGGGGCAGCAGUAGGGAAUCUACCGCAAUGGACGAAAGUCUGACGGAGCAACGCCGCGUGAGUGAUGAAGGCUUUCGGGUCGUAAAACUCUGUUGUUAGGGAAGAACAAGUGCUAGUUGAAUAAGCUGGCACCUUGACGGUACCUAACCAGAAAGCCACGGCUAACUACGUGCCAGCCGCCGCCGUAA
rnacentral:rRNA from 1 species